UGCCUCCUUGAACAGUUACAGAGUGGUGGUUGUUGUCCUGUGCUCUUGUCGGACAUGCUUACAGAAGUGUGGGAUGUCAUCAAACUUCUCAACGCUCUGGAUUGGAAAAUAAUUACUUGGUCUGUUUUGCUAGCUUUUGUGUAGUAGUGAAUUUUUUCAACACAUCAUUUGUUCUUUGGAAAUGGCAGAUGAUUUACUUCAAUGGCAAUAUGCUGACAAUAGAAUGGGAACUAGACAUUUCCUUUUCAUAACUCUUGUCUAGCAAGGUUUGUAAUUAUUUGAAUGAGAAUGGUUAUUGGUGUACUUGGUGUACAAGACAUGGCAUCACCUCAAAAUGCACCAAUAAAAAAAAAGUUGUUGCUUAAAUAAAGAAGGUUGGUCCAGUAGCUCCGGCUGAAACCAAGAAAGUGUCCAAAACUUCUGUUACAAUCUGUCAUUUCUGCUUCAAAAGACUCGGAAGUUGGUGUCUGCAAAAGUCCCUCAAAGAUGUGUGUAUUCUUCACAUGAAGCAUCCAGAAGUUUACCACCAUUUGGGCAUGUCACCAUCAAGAGGAUUUCUUCUUCACUGUCUGUAUAAAGAAGCCAAGUUUUCAACUUGACAACUCUAUGGAUGAAUUUAUUUCUACUGAAAGUCAAAUCAAUGCUGCCACAGCCUUUGGACAGGGAAUCUCAACCUCAAACUGUCUGAAUAAGAAUAAGGGAAUAUCCUCCCCUCUUCCUUUAUUAUCUUAUCGCCGCAUCCUUGCUACAAACGAAAGGCUUCUUCUUUUCUCAUUUGUUCAGUGAAUUUGGUAAAAAUGAGAGUCAACAUUAUAAUUACCAAGGCAGCAAACCUAUGCAUAUAGUGUGCAGCUUUUCUCUGUAAUCUCAAUUUUGGGAUCCUUCAAUAGUGGCUCAGUCUGAUCUCGUGAGAGGUGAACAGCAUUCGUUUGAUGGAUCGGAUUGCGGACGGCUCAUUUCACUUCACCUUUCUUGAAAUCCGCGCCCUCGCUUUGUCCUCGUGUACAUUCAUGUGAGGGAGAAUGUAUUCACGAGGACGUUCUUUUCUUCUGGACCCACCUUUACUCUCUGCGGAUGGAACACGAACACCUGAAGAUGUCGAACGAUAAUUUCAAGGUGCCGUCCCACGAUAAUAGGACAAGUGUAUCUUACAAACAGCAGUCGGCGACCGACGGGUUUACCGGAAAUGACAGGAGUCGGAACAAAGUGCUAGAUAACAAGGAUCGAAGUCCACCAUGAAGACUUACGUCCAAUAUGAUCUCAGUUGACCAUUAUACGGCGUCGAAUAUUUCGUUGAUUGUUAGACGGCGUCGAAUAUCUCGUUGAUUGUUAGACGGCGCUGCAGAUUGCGCAAUGGUUUAUGGGUCGACAUAUAGAAUCGAAUUUAUUCACGUCCAGCAAAAAUUAAAGUCUAAGCCGGAACAGUGACCUGUAAAUGGACAUCAGCCGGUCAGGAUCGGUGAUCCAUUCGUCCAAGUACGACAAAGAUGAAAUCAAUUUAUGUUGUCCAUUUAUCUUGUAUUUUCGUAAAUCAGGGUAAUGUGUGUAGAUACUUGUUCGGGUGUUUUCAAUGCAAGAUACAUAGGUAAUGAAUUUUUAUUCAUAAGGAUUAUUAGUAAGUAGAAAUUAACUAGUAUAAACUUAUCGUUUACUUUGUGUCGCGACAACCGGAUUUCUUUAGUUGCAGGACGGCAAAUUUUGGGCUUCGCGGGUGAUGUCGCACCAGUUCCAUUGGACGCCAGAAACCAAAGUAGUCGGGCAGUUCUGCAAAAGAACCCGACAGCUGAUUUUCGUUUGCCGUGAUCAUAGUGGUAAUAACCGCUUCAGUGGUGGUCGGUGGCUCCGUCGUGGUGGUCACGACCGGAUGCAUUUCAUCGAUAACAAGUUCUUCGAUUGGAUCUUCGUCUUCCCAAUA
rnacentral:lncRNA from 1 species